UAGGAUAGAGGCCUACCAUGGUGGUAACGGGUAACGGGGUGUUAGGGCACGACACCGGAGAGGGAGCCUGGGAAACGGCUACCACAUCCAAGGAUGGCAGCAGGCGCGCAAAUUACCCAAUCCCGACACGGGGAGGUAGUGACAAUAAAUAACAAUACGGGGUUCUUUAGGAUCUCGUAAUUGGAAUGAGUACAAUUUAAAUCUCUUAACGAGGAACAAUUGGAGGGCAAGUCUGGUGCCAGCAGCCGCGGUAAUUCCAGCUCCAAUAGCGUAUAUUAAGGUUGUUGCAGUUAAAAAGCUCGUAGUUGAAUUUCGGGGUUAGUAGGUUGGUCAUGCCUCUGGUAUGUACUGGUCUCACUGAUUCCUCCUUCCUUAUGAACCGUAAUGCCAUUAAUUUGGUGUUGCGGGGAAUUUGGACUGUUACUUUGAAAAAAUUAGAGUGUUUAAAGCAAGCUAACGCUUGAAUACAUUAGCAUGGAAUAAUGAAAUAGGACGUUCGAUCUUAUUUUGCUGGUUUCUAGGAUUGACGUAAUGAUUAAUAGGGAUAGUUGGGGGCAUUAGUAUUCAAUUGUCAGAGGUGAAAUUCUUGGAUUUAUUGAAGACUAACUACUGCGAAAGCAUUUGCCAAGGAUGUUUUCAUUAAUCAAGAACGAAAGUUAGGGGAUCGAAGACGAUCAGAUACCGUCGUAGUCUUAACCAUAAACUAUGCCGACUAGGGAUCGGA
rnacentral:rRNA from 1 species